rnacentral:rRNA from 1 species
GUCCGCCUGCUCAAUGUAAUUAUAAAUAGCUGCAGUAUUACUGUACUAAGGUAGCAUAAUCAUUAGCUUCUUAAUUAGAAGAUAGAAUGAAAGGCGUAACGACAACAUAAUCUGUUUCUAAAAUAAUAGUAUAAAAUAAAAUACAAGUCAAAAUUCUCCUAUAAUAAAGAAGGACGACAAGACCCUGAAAAACUUAACAUUUUGCUGGGGCGGCAAAUUAAAAAUACCUUAAAUCUAACAUUAACACAAAUCUAAUAUAAUUAAUUCAGAUACAGUUACUUCAGGGAUAACAGCGCAACUAUUCUUAAAAGCUCUCAUAUAAAGAAAACACUGCGACCUCGAUGUUGAAUUAAUUUAACUAUUACACGCAAAAGUUUAUUAAGUAGGUCUGUUCGACCUUUAAACAAUU